rnacentral:rRNA from 1 species
GAUGAACGCUAGCGACAGGCUUAACAUAUGCAAGUCGAGGGGCAGCAUGAUUUGUAGCAAUACAGAUUGAUGGCGACCGGCGCACGGGUGAGUAACGCGUAUGCAACUUACCUAUCAGAGGGGGAUAGCCCGGCGAAAGUCGGAUUAAUACCCCAUAAAACAGGGGUCCCGCAUGGGAAUAUUUGUUAAAGAUUCAUCGCUGAUAGAUAGGCAUGCGUUCCAUUAGGCAGUUGGCGGGGUAACGGCCCACCAAACCGACGAUGGAUAGGGGUUCUGAGAGGAAGGUCCCCCACAUUGGAACUGAGACACGGUCCAAACUCCUACGGGGAGGCAGCAGUGAGGAAUAUUGGUCAAUGGUCGGCAGACUGAACCAGCCAAGUCGCGUGAGGGAAGACGGCCCUACGGGUUGUAAACCUCUUUUGUCGGAGAGUAAAGUACGCUACGUGUAGUGUAUUGCAAGUAUCCGAAGAAAAAGCAUCGGCUAACUCCGUGCCAGCAGCCG